GCCUUCGUGGUAUAGUGGUCAGCACGCUCGACGCGUAUUGGAAAGGUUCGUGGUUCGAAUCCCGACAAGGGCA
rfam:Stegodyphus mimosarum contig107051, whole genome shotgun sequence.